CAGGAAAUGGACUGAUUCCUUUGAAAUUCCCAUGUUGUAAAUAGUCCCUUACUCCACUCAGGUGAGGACUUUGACCACAGAAGUACAACCAGGACAACCGUGCUGUUGGUGGUAGCUCCCAAGGUCCAAGGACGACUAUAUACUUUGACAGCAAAGAGCCAAGCAAGGGUGUGAACCAUAGUUUCGGUUGAUAUUUGCCACCAUGUUUUGGAUUGCACGUACACUUCUUGGAUAUAAACUGUAAUUAGGCUUGUUCAAGCUAUGUUACCGCGGACGUGAAGUCUUGUAUGUUUUUGUGAAUGUUGAUCAUAUGAGUUCUGGAUUUGAUCA